AACGAACGCUGGCGGCAUGCCUAACACAUGCAAGUCGAACGAACCCUUCGGGUCUAGUGGCGCACGGGUGCGUAACACGUGGGAACGUGCCCUUAGGUUCGGAAUAACUCCGGGAAAGUUGUGCUAAUACCGGAUAAGCUCUUCGGAGCAAAGAUUUAUCGCCUUUGGAUGGGCCCGCGUUGGAUUAGCUAGUUGGUAGGGUAAAAGCCUACCAAGGCGACGAUCCAUAGCUGGUCUGAGAGGAUGAUCAGCCACACUGGGACUGAGACACGGCCCAGACUCCUACGGGAGGCAGCAGUGGGGAAUCUUGCGCAAUGGGCGAAAGCCUGACGCAGCCAUGCCGCGUGAGUGAUGAAGGUCUUAGGGUUGUAAAGUUCUUUCACCCGGGAUGAUAAUGACAGUACCGGGAGAAGAAGCCCCGGCUAACUUCGUG
rnacentral:rRNA from 1 species